rnacentral:lncRNA from 1 species
UGUUGGAAAAAAAUGCAAUUUGGAGUAUCCACAAAACCUCCAGCGCCAAUAUCAAGGAGAUUGUAAAGAAGAUGACCCUGAACUUGGAGUAUUUGAAGGGAUGCAGGAGCUCAGCAGCUGCCAUCACCCUCAGAAGAGAACUGCUGUCGCCUAGGUGCCCCUAACUUGCAGGUUCUCAUAGAAGCAUAUGUCCUCCAAACCACUGUGUAUUCUACACUAAAGCACUUUGAAGAGAAGUGCAGAACUCACCACACACUUCCAAAGACCCCACAGAUUGGAAUAUAGCGGCUCUCCCACCUUGAAUGCCUGCUGUUCCUCAGCCUGUCUCCCUCUCCAGCAUCUGAGUACCUCUGUGUCCUGCCCCCAACCCCCGCUCCUUCAAACUCAGCACUUUGGAAUCUCUCUCUCUCUAUCAGCAAAAGACAUGACACCCCAAUAAUAUUGAUCCAGAUCACUAUGUUUUUUACUGCCCAAUUUUCUCUCCCACCCAACUGAGGUAUUUCUGAGUAGACAUUUUGGGGUUGGAUAUUUUUUGUAUUGUUGUAGUUUGUUUUUAUUUGUUGACCUAGGGUCUCACUGUAGAACCUUAAACUCCUCCUCUUCUACUUCAUCCUCCUCAGUGCUAGGAUGACAAGCAUAAGCCGCUACACUCAGAAACCCAUAACCAAGAGCCGGGUGUGGUAACACGCACCUUUAGUCCUAGCAAAGGCAAGCAGAUCUGUGAGUUUGAGGCCAGCCUGACCUAUAGACUGAGUGAGUUCCAGGACAGCCAGAGAAAGAAACCCUUUCUCAAAAUAUCAAAAAAGUAAGUAAAAAUAGUCAAGUAAAAAAAGAAAUAAAACCACAAUGGAGCCCAAGGAUACAGUUACAAAACAACUCCCACACCUAAGGUUCAGGGAACAUUGGAUAAAGGGGUGUGUGUGUGUGUGGGAAGUUUGUUAAGAGACAAAUCAGGGAGUUUGCAGAAACUGGGUCUCCUAGUAAUGUCAAAAUCUACACCCAUAAAGUCUCAGUAGCAUGACUGCCUGAGCAGCAACUGAACAAGGACAACAGUAGACAGGCCAAUGUGGGUUGAGGAAAACACG